rnacentral:rRNA from 1 species
UCCUACGGGACGCAGCAGUGGGGAAUAUUGCGCAAUGGGGGCAACCCUGACGCAGCAACGCCGCGUGCGGGACGAAGGCCUUCGGGUUGUAAACCGCUUUCAGCAGGGAAGAACCAUGACGGUACCUGCAGAAGAAGCCCCGGCUAACUACGUGCCAGCAGCCGCGGUAAUACGUAGGGGGCGAGCGUUAUCCGGAUUCAUUGGGCGUAAAGCGCGCGUAGGCGGCGCGUCAAGCGGGACCUCUAACCCCGGGGCUCAACCCCGGGCCGGGUCCCGGACUGGCGCGCUCGAGUGCGGUAGAGGCG